rnacentral:rRNA from 1 species
UACGUAGGGGGCUAGCGUUGUCCGGAAUCAUUGGGCGUAAAGAGCGUGUAGGCGGCCCGGUAAGUCCGCUGUGAAAGUCGGGGGCUCAACCCUCGAAUGCCGGUGGAUACUGUCGGGCUAGAGUGCGGAAGAGGCGAGUGGAAUUCCUGGUGUAGCGGUGAAAUGCGCAGAUAUCAGGAGGAAUACCGGUGGCGAAAGCGACUCUCUGGACGGCAACUGACGCUGAGGCACGAAAGCGUGGAGAGCAAACAGG